AUUCCUCCGGGGUAUCCGAUAAAAUUGAAACGAUAGAGAAAAGAUUAGCAUAGCCCUAUGCAAAGAUGGCACGAACAAAUCGAAAAAUUGUCCAAAAUUUU
rnacentral:snRNA from 2 species